GGGCUGUUAGCUACAACUGGUAGAGCACCUGCUUUGCAAGCAGGGGGUUACGGGUUCGAGUCCCGUACAGUCCA
rnacentral:tRNA from 1 species